rnacentral:rRNA from 2 species
GAUGAACGCUGGCGGCGUGCCUAAUACAUGCAAGUCGAACGAGUUCUGAUUAUUGAAAGGUGCUUGCAUCUUGAUUUUAAUUUUGAACGAGUGGCGGACGGGUGAGUAACACGUGGGUAACCUGCCCUUAAGUGGGGGAUAACAUUUGGAAACAGAUGCUAAUACCGCAUAAAUCCAAGAACCGCAUGGUUCUUGGCUGAAAGAUGGCGUAAGCUAUCGCUUUUGGAUGGACCCGCGGCGUAUUAGCUAGUUGGUGAGGUAACGGCUCACCAAGGCAAUGAUACGUAGCCGAACUGAGAGGUUGAUCGGCCACAUUGGGACUGAGACACGGCCCAAACUCCUACGGGAGGCAGCAGUAGGGAAUCUUCCACAAUGGACGCAAGUCUGAUGGAGCAACGCCGCGUGAGUGAAGAAGGCUUUCGGGUCGUAAAACUCUGUUGUGGAGAAGAAUGGUCGGCAGAGUAACUGUGUCG